UAUUUUUCCUCCGCUAAUUGGGUCGUCCCCUUUCUGGCCCGAUAGAGGGCCCCACAACUGGCGCAUCAUCAAGUGUUCUCUUAUCGCACUCUUUGGAAUCAUCGGUUUCAUCACUGGCACCAUCAGCAGUAUCCAAGCCAUCGUGGACUUCUUCGUAAAUGG